rnacentral:rRNA from 1 species
CCCCUUCGACGAGUCGAGUUGUUUGGGAAUGCAGCUCAAAACGGGUGGUAAAUUUCAUCUAAAGCUAAAUACCGGCCAGAGACCGAUAGCGCACAAGUAGAGUGAUCGAAAGAUGAAAAGCACUUUGGAAAGAGAGUCAAAAAGUACGUGAAAUUGUUGAAAGGGAAGCGCUUGCAACCAGACCUGCCCGCGGGUGAUCAGCCGUCCUUCUGGGCGGUGCACUCGCCCGCGAUCAGGCCAGCAUCGGUUCGGGCGGUCGGAUAAAGGCCUCGGGAACGUAGCUCCCUCCGGGGAGUGUUAAAGCCCUUGGUGCAAUGCGGCCUGCCCGGACCGAGGACCGCGCUUCGGCUAGGAUGCUGGCGUAAUGGUUGUAAGCGGCCCGUCUUGAAACACGGACCAAGGAGUCGACCAACUAUGCGAGUGUUUGGGUGUCAAACCCACACGCGCAAUGAAAGUGAACGGAGGUGGGAACCCCUCGCGGGGCGCACCAUCGACCGAUCCAGAUGUCUUCGGAUGGAUUUGAGYCCGMRMAUARCWGSUCGGACCCGAAAGAUGAUGAACUAUGCCUGAAUAGGGUGAAGCCAGAGGAAACUCUGGUGGAGGCUCGCAGCGGUUCUGACGUGCAAAUCSAUCGUCAAA